rnacentral:tRNA from 1 species
AAGAUUUUAAGAUAUUUAAUCUAUUAACCUUCAAAGUUAAAUAUAUAAUAACUUUUAUAAAUCUUA